GACUAACGCUGGCGGCGUGCUUAAUACAUGCAAGUCAACGACUUUUAGAGUAGCAAUAUUUUAAAGGAAGUGGCGCACGGGUGAGUAACACGUAGGUAAUCUGCCUUCAGGACUGACACAACUCGUCGAAAGACGGGCUAAUAUCAGAUAAUGCAGCGGCUCCGCAUGGAGACAGUUGUUAAAGUACAAGCGCCUGAAGAUGAGCCUGCGGUCCAUUAGCUAGUUGGUAGAGUAACAGCCUACCAAGGCAACGAUGGAUAGCUGGUCUGAGAGGAUGAUCAGCCACACUGGAACUGAGACACGGUCCAGACUCCUACGGG
rnacentral:rRNA from 1 species